UUGAGUUUCAUCCACAUUCUGUGACCAAUUGAUAAAGAAACUCAAAGUCUGCAGUCCGUGUUGAUUUUAGAAAGUCAGUCUCUGAAGCCCAUUUCUGGAAGGAGUUUAAAGAGAGAAGAGGACUAGAAGCCAGGUUCAGUCUUCUGGUGGAUGCUUGGAAAAGGAUAAGUGGUUUCUGGGAUCAUUAGAGUGGAUCCGAUUACCUCGUGGAGUAAUGAUGGAAACAAAGCAUAAAAUCAGAGGGACUGUAAGCACCCUGCAUUCUUCCUUCGGGCAAGUAAUACCAUAGCAUCGAUGACAGAUAGUUUUCUCUGCGCUUUAUUUUUUCUGAAGGUUGGCAGAACUAGAACAUUUACAGUGGUACACAUUUAAGUGUUUUAAUAUCCAGGUGAUUAGGAAGUGCAGAAUCUCUUUUGCUGUAUUUUCAAGGCUUUUGUUCUGACUGCAUAAAUUUAAAAGCAGCUAAUGUCUGUAGUGAAACAUUUCUCACUGGAAAAGUCAUGGACAACGGGGGUGUUUGCCUACCUAGAGUCAGGGACUUAAACUGCAAUCAAAUGUUCAGGCCUUAUUUUCCUCAAAUGUGAAGGAAAGAACAAUGCUUGAGAUACAGCUAAGGUAUUUUUAAAGUAUGCAAUUUGUGUGACUCUUGCUGAGUCAGGUGAGUGGGUGAUGCUGGCAGAGUCGUAGAAGAAACUGACUUCUAGCAAGGGAUGGGAACCCACGCUAAACAGAACAGGAGUGGGGCCGAGCGUGUGCUCAAGGAGAAGGAAGCCUCUGGGUGCUUAGAUGGUGGGACUGAUGGCUGAGCAGUGAUAUGAAAUGACUGUGUCGGGGGCCCAAAGGGAAAAGGACUUGCCCUGGGUACCUCAGGAUGUGAGAGAAGAGCUCAGCUGGAGUCUGGCAGUGGAGGUAGAGUGGCCUGUUAGAAAGGACUGACUCAGGAAAAGAAAGGAAAGAAAGGACUCACUCUAAGGAAUUGCUUGCUGGCUGGAGGGAAAUAAAAUCGUGAAAGAACAAGGAGUCCUGGUAAUGUUCUAGACCUACCAUAAAAUUGCUUACUGUGAGACUAUUGUGCUUCAGUUGUAGUCCAAAUGGGUAACAUUUGUACCCCACAUUGUAUAGUAGUAAAUGUCUUGGUGUGUAUUUGGACAGACUCGGCCGUCUGUUACUCAUUAGGAGUACCAAGAAGGGGAUUCUCGCUAGCAGGCACGAGAGAGCAGGAUCCAGUGUCUUCACAGGACAAAACUUCAGUGCAUUAAUUCAGCAAGCGCAACACAGCCUUCAGGUGGCAUCUCUGGGGGUGGGGUUGGGGAGGGCUGGCAGAAAAGAAUCUUUUUUUACACAGCAUUUGUUUGAUGCUUCAAGUUAUUCUCUCAUUGUCAUUUCUCAGAACAUGGCUGGAUUUGGCCCAUUUAACCACAGGCAGAGACCUGGAGUUUAUUUCAGAAGAAAGCCCAGUAGUCAGUAGAAUAUAGGGGUCUGGAGAUACGAUAAUAUUAUGUGAUUUCCCUGUAAUGCAGUUGGAAUUGUAAAGACUAGGAUAGAUUUGAGGUAUGGAGGUUACAUGACUCUAGUUGAAUUACCCUCUGGUUUUCGUCAUCGUUGUCUGCCCUGUUAAGUUUUCUGAAACUUAGUACAGUGUUUCUCUAGUUUAAUUUGAAGCAGGAAUUAUUCUUUGAUCAUCAGGCAAUAUCUCAGCUAGUUUUCGCACUCAGACUAUCUUUAAUCAACAGGUAACUCUUGAUACAUAUUAAAUACAAGUGCAUUACAUGCUGUAAGCAGAUACUAAGAUGAACGAGAGGCAGACAUUUAUUUCUCAAGUUGUCUGAUCUAAUGGGAGAGGAGGAUGGUCUGUUGAAUGGUGGUUGGGAAGUUGGGUUCUGCAGUCAAACCCAGUCCAAAUUAAGAUCUGGGUUUCGAUAAGUAUUGGAUGUAUAAGCAUGGAAAAGCUCCUCAGUCUCUCUAAACCUUAUUGGGUUAUCCAUCUAGUACCUGUCAGCACUGGAAUCUCUGUAAUAGUACCUGUCUCAGCGGGGUACAGGAGGCCGCCUAGGACAUGGUGGUUGUAAAGGAUUCGGAACGCAGGGAUUCCUCCGUGAACACUGACAACAGGCACAGAUGGAGAGAAUGCUGCCUGACCGGCCCACGGCAUUAUGACUUUCUGGAAGUUCGUGUUAGGUAAACAACUUAGGGUGCUCUCUGUAUGGAUGCAAUGCCAUUAACUAACAUUCCCAGAGGCAAACACAAGAAAUAACAGGAGAGAACAAAAAACCUUAUUUUUUUUAAUUCACAGAAGUUGUCUAAGCAAAUUAUAUUUCUUAUUUUCUGAGGUAUUUUGUUUGUAUUACAUUCUGGUAACACAUGUUAAAGGAGUUGAACAGCCUGAAUCAAUAGGGAAAAACUCACCAAUUCUUUUAGUACAUGAUUAUUGAGCCUGUUAUGUACAUGUCUCAUGGAUUCAAGCACUAGACGUAGAUUAUCCACACGGAAAAUAAAACUAGUUAAGGAGCCGUUCUGGUGAUUGGCACUCAAACGCAGGCGUUUGCCUGACUGUUGAAGCCAGACGGCUACACAUGUUGGAGGAUUUUCAGCCAUGGAUACCUUGACUGUUUCUCUCGGACAUCUUAAGUAUCUGUAAAUGUUCAGUACCACUAAUUACCCUGUGGUGUGAUUUAUUCUUUAAAAGGUUAUGCAACGUUUGAUAACAUGCAAAAGUUUAUAAUAAAUUCUUUAAAUUAAUAGCACAUAAUACUCCAUUAAAGCUGCUGUGUGAAGAGGAGCUUAAGUCAUUUACUGUUAUUAUGGCUAACUAAAUAUACAUCAGUUGGUAAUUAAAUACUUCCUGAAUGCCACCUCUGUGUCUCCUGUCAAAGGUCUGGUGAUGGUCCUUGGGCGUUUUCUUGGUCAGUAGGUCCAGUAUUUGGGAAGAAGAGCUGAACAUGGUCCAAAGGGCUGUGAGGGUAAGCUGGAACCCAGCAGUGUCCGUGUCUGUCACCACCUAACCAAGAAGCAAAUAAUGGCUUCAGAGAGUAACAGCUGUUGAUGAUAUAGUUCCUCCUUUCAAAUCUCAAGUACAUUCCUCUCUUGGCCAGCUCUGACCUUGAACCACUCAUGGAAGGGAAUUCUGGGAAAUGUAGUUCCACCUUGCCCACGUUACUACAGUUCAAACCUCAUGUGUUCCUGUACUUAUUUGUUGUAUUAUAAAUCAGAGGGACAUUCAGAGUUAUUUAUUCUUAGAAGAUAUCAGGAUAUUUAAGAUACCAGAAUACUUAAAAAAUAAAAUUUAACCUGAUUAUACAAUUGUUUUCUUUUCCAUUAAACCAUGUCUUUAUUUUCAAAGCCAUGAAAUAGCUUAAAACAGGAGUAAUAUAAGCCUACCUUCUUCUGUUGCAAGAAAACAUUCUUUUAAUUUGCUAAGUUGGAUCUCUGCCAAAACAUUUUUUUUGAAAAAAGUUAUCUAGUACAGUGCCAUCUAGUGGUAUGUUAAUUUAUUUUCUGGUUAUGAAAGUAGUUCACUACCACAUUUUACUUGGUAAAUCAAGAACUUUACUUUUAAUCAUGCCUAACUCAUAAGACAUAGGGAACUAUUUUUAAGUAAAUCAAAUAUUUGUAAAUAAAGAGAACUAGAAAAGGGGAAAAAGCUGGAAAAGUGGUUUAUUUUACCCUUAGAUUCUAUUCUACUUCAUUUUCAUACAUACUGAGUCACUAUUUGUUCAUAUGAUACCAUUUGGAUCCAGGAGGAAAGUGGGUUUCUUGUUUACAAAAAGAACAGGAUUAUUUUAGAAAUGUGAUGGGGCGGAAUGAGCAUGGGCUUUUAAGUCAGACAGGCAUGGGUUUGUCUUUCAGCCUCACUUGGCUUAUGUUGUGGCACGCCGUGCUCCAAGAACUUGACAUGAAUCAUGAAAUGUUCACAAAAACCCGACGAGGCGUGCUACAGACGAGGAAGCCAAGGCCCACAGAAUGGUUAGUGUUGAGUGCGUAAUCUCAUUGUUUUUCAGUGAUUGGUGUGUUUACCUGUUUCUCUAACACAGUGACCUUCUGCAGGAGGAUCUCACUCCCGUUUUCCCAGCACCUCGUAUGGAUUCAUAUGUUCCCAAUCCAGUUGGUGAAUAUUUGACUAUUUUUUUUUGCUUCCAUGAAGAGUCACAACAAGAACGAUAGAAAAUUAAAUUGUAGAUAAAAUAUCAGAAAAAUCAGUGUUUUCUCAAGGGAUUACACAGUUAGAAACCUUAGGCUCUGUUCUCUGAUUGGUCACUUAAUUUAAUUUUAAUCUCAGUUAUAUAUGCACAGAAUUUCAAGAGUUGUACAAGGCUUGUUGCAGAACUCAGCAAUCUCCCAGCUCUCACCCCUCCCCCCUCUCACUCCUCCCCCGGUCCCUGCUCUAGGGGGUUCAUCUUGGAGGCCUGGUUCUGCUUUAUCUCCCGAUCGCUAGCUAACUUGUUGUUCUUUCCAAUUUUUAAUUUUUCAGCCAUAGGCAUUACCUUUGAUAUCUCAUGAGAGAUGAAGAGGAUUUAUCUUUCUUAUACACCCUUACCCUAGGUGAAGGGCCCUCCUUUAAGUUUUGAAUAAUCAGUGUUUAUAUUAGUAUAACUAUAAAACAUUAUUCACAGCAUGGUUGUUUUUUCUAACACAUUAUGUUGGUUUGUUUUCCCUGGUUUAUGUUGUCUUUUUGGAGAGAAGGGUAUUGUUUGUUUGCUUAGAUUUUCUCUAUCACUUCCUCAUUUCAGCUAUUUUCCAGGUUCCUAAGUAUAGUUAGGAUAUGUGACUUUGAGCCAGUUUAGCUCUUCUGAUGAAAUAUUUUGUCACUUAUAGACUGAAGGGUACAGAUGACAUGAAGAGUGUAGGCUGCUUGUAUUCUGAAAACUUUGUUUUCCUGGAACAGGCACCUGGAUGUUUUGUGCUGACCAUGUUGUUAAUGGACCCCAUUGCCAGCCCUUACCCAGCCCUCCUCUCUGACCUGAUGGUCUUUUCUUGGGUUGGCUGGAGCAUCUCUGCUGCCUCCCAGAGGGACUGGGGGAUUCAGGAUCUGGCUGGAAGUGGAGUCCCAUUAGUGUGGGACCAAGACUGCUGGUCGGCAAGAGCUCUGCCAGGUGCACACAAUGAGCUAGAAAUACCCCAGCCCAGCCAAAAGACCGGAAAUUCUUCGACGAGGAAGAGUUACUAGAGUCUUGUGACAGGUAGAAGCACUUACCUUUUAUAAUGAGUAGUUGUGGAGAAGCAAAUGUACAGAUAAAAGUUGCCAGGGGUGAAAUGAAGACGAAAUGGCAUGUAAGAUACGAGCCAACAGUAAGUAAAAUCUUGUUUGAAACAAAGAUAAAACAGAAAGAUCCCUAGCAGUAGCUUCUCAUAGGUUGCUAUAGAAAAUAAUAAUGCUGGAGAUAUAAGCAUGAAUGAUCUAAUGAUUCUUAGCUUUGUAGAUAUUUUGUUUACCUCCACCAUAGCCUUAGCGUGCUUGUGAAAUGGUGUGCGAGGUGUUAUUUGGGGGGACGUCAUUGUAACUUGAUGUAAAUGUAGAAGAAAAAGUAGGGGACAAAAUGAGUCUGGAUAGGUGUGCCUUGGGGAUACUGCAGGUCUGGUUCCAGACCACUGAAGAAAGCGAAUAUUGCGAUACAGUGAGUCACAUGAACUUCUUGGUUCCUGGUGCAUAUAAAAGUUAUGUUGGGACUAUAUUGUAGUCUGUUAAGCAGGUGAUAGCAUUGUCUGAAAAAAACCACAAAACAAUGUACAUACCUUAAUUUAAAAACAUUUUUUUGCUAAAAAAAUACUAUCAUCUGAGCCUAAAUUUAGCAAGUUGUAAGUUAUAUGUUGGUGGAGGGUUUUACCUUCAAUUUGUAUAAAACUCAGUAUCUAUGAAGUGCAAUAAAGCGAACAAGUGCGAUAAAAUGAGGCACGCCUGCACAAUUUUACUAGUUUGCUACUGAAGCUGUCAUUCUAGACAGCUAGCACUAGGAGGCCACAGAGACCAUGAUUCUGGCGGACUUAGGUCUAGUUGUGCCUGGUUCCUGUUGGAGUUGAAAAGGAAACUUAGGGCAAAACGUCUAUUGAAGUGCUGUAAAAACUGCUUAAAAUUCAGGAUCACUUAACUAAAUGAAAGAUUAGCCAUCCUGUUUUUCAUAAUGUAGUAAUAAGUGAAUCUAAAGUGCAACACUUUUUCUGUAUGCUUGUGACAUUGUAAAUAAAAUAACUAUGCAUAACCACCGCUUUUUAGAAUUGUAAUUUUGACUUUUAGUUCUUGAACCCCUGGAUCAAGGCCCUGAUUGCCUUAUGCCUGGAUGAUUUCAGUAGCUUCCCGAUGGAUGACACUUUUUGUCUUACUUUCUUCCCGUCCAUUCUUGCUAAAAAUAAGAGUUUUUCAUCAGAAAUAGUUUUUGGUCAUACAUGUCCUCUGAUUGGAAACUCCGGGUAGUUUCCGGUCAGAUGGUACUCAGAUCCAAGCCCAUUCAUUCAGUCACUCAUUGAUCAAAUACGUACCAGUGCCUUUAUACAGCAGGAUGGGCAGUCGUGGGCGAUGGGUUUGCCCAUGCAUUUUCUCACAGAGUCUCUCUUACAGCUGAGUAAACACAGCUAUUCAUCCCUAAAAUUUUACCUUUGUGCCUUUAAACAUAAAUCAGCCUCCUGGUCAUUUCAUAAUUCCCCUCUUUGAGAACUGCCUCUGGUUAUUUAAGACCGGAUCUCCCUCAGUUGCGGUGGGUCCUCCCAGCCUUGGUGGGACUUAGCUCAUACUGUGCUGGUUUCAUUUAUUUUUAGUUUUGCUCUAUUAAAAACUUAAAAAAUGUAAAUUUGUAUAUGGUUAAGAAUAAGGUGGUCUUUUUUUCUUUAUAUUUCUUCUUAGUACUACCUAAGAAGUACAAAUACAGUACUAUGUAAAAAGGAAAUACUACCUAAUGACAAUAGCACAUAGCUUUCCCUGCAAGCUCUCAGCGCAGUCUUCCUAUCUAACAGAAACACAGUUUUGUUUGAGAAUCCACUCCUCUCGGCGUGUCCUUGGACUUCGGGGAGGGUGGGCUGAGGCCCCAGCCUCUGGCAUCACGAGGGUUCCAUUCCUGCCAUUUGAUGGUUGGAGCGUGAGCACGUGACCCAGUUCUGGCCCGUGGGACAGGAAGUCGGCUGUCCUCCCCGAGUUAACCUGGGAGCUGAGCCCACUUGAGGCUGAGCAGCAGCCACCACCCAGGCACGAAGGGACCCCGCCCAAACACCGUCACCGCACUGAGGAGGGGAAAGGAGAAAAACAGGAGGAACGUGGGCCUUGUCCGGCCUGACCGAGCCAUCCUCCCUUGCUGUUUCUCGUUACGUGAAGAAAAUGAAGCUUGGUUGGUUCGGGAUUUUUCUCUUGUUUUGACGAAGGCAUCUGGCUAACUCCUCAUCCGUCAGGUCUCCGUUCAGAUUUCCAGACCUCUUCCAGCUCCCGGGACAUCUCCUGUCACGGACUUGUCACACCAUCUGGUGACGAUUGUUUACUUUCCAGUGCCAACAUUGACGGUGAGCUCUGAGCGUAGGCACUUCCUCUUGUUUAUAGUUCUGUCCUUAAAAACUAGCAUAGGGCCCAUGACUGGUGAGUUUUUAAUACCUUUAUUUAUUCAUACUCUUCUGAAAGUCAGCACAAGGUUUCUGGGGCAGGGACAGAUUAUUACUUACAUCAAUAAGCUAAGUCAAGAGAUUCCUAAUUUUUAACCCCUGGAAUAUCCCAGUGACUAUGGUUCAUGCUUCCAAAAUAUAAACACUUAACUCAAGGGAGAGAGAUCACUUACUUUCUGUUCAGUCAUCUUUGAGGUUUUAAGGGUCAUCCUUUAACCUUGGUCUUCAUAAAUGUGCCCAGAAAGCUGUUGCUGUGCAGAGGUAUAAGAAUAAUCUCUUCCUGACAACGACACACAGUAGGUGCUCAAUAAACUACUUGUUGGGAAUUCAGCAAUUUUAAAGAAUAAAUUUAACUGAGUUAUUUCAAAUGGGGCAGGGAUUGAGGGCCUUGUUGGUACAAUGGGGGGAGUAUAUCAGGACUAUGAGGGGGCAUUUUUUAAAUCAAAAAUACACUUUCCACCCCAAGAUUCUGAUCUGUUAUUUCUGUCAUAAUUCCUUCAGGAUUUGUGGGGAAUCCUUCAUUGUGCUUGUGUUUGUAUUUGUGGCCACGUAGGAGGUGAGAGAACCCUGACAGCUUGCCCCGAGCCAGAGUAGCCCCCUCUCCAAACCACUGUGGCUUCCCUGUACAAGUCAGUGACAGAGCCUCGAGUGUCAGUGCUUGGUUCCUGCCAGGGGAGGGUUUGGUUUGGUGUUUACUUCCAUGGAUUUGGUGGGAUCUUUUAAAAAAUAAUUUAUUAUUAUUUGUUAAUGGCUUACCUUUUUUCAAAGAAGUUUUGAGGCCGUUCUACAGCAAAAAUAUAAAAUAAAAUGACAUAUAAGUAGGGAAUCAGAACUAAGAAAAAGUUUACAAGUAUGUCAAUUGAUUUUUCAUUCAGAUUUGGUUCUAGUGUUUUUUUAAUUGAGAUAUAAUAGACACACAGCAUUAUAUUAGUUUCAGGUGUACAACAUAAUGAACUAAUCAUAGUAAGUCUAGUUAACAUUUGUCACCAUACACAGUUACAGAUUUUUCCUUUUUGCGAUGAGAACUUUGAAGAUCCACUCCUAGCUCAUUUAAAACUUGUAACACCCUGUCAUCUGUGGUCCGCAUGCUGUGCGUUACGUCCCCAUUGGACCCCUUCACCCAUUUUGCCCACCCUCCCUGUCCCCUGCUGCAAGCGCCCACCAGUCUGUUCUCUCUGUCAGUGAGCUCAGGGGGUUUUGUUUCAUUUUGUUGUUUAAGUUGCCAUCUUAAGUGGUAGCUUUUUCUAUGGAAAUUACAAAGUAGUGGGGAGUUUUUUGGCUUUUAGUUAUUGUAUUAUUACUUGCAUCUAUCCGGCAACAUUGAUGAAUUAAUGUUUUAUUAGUUUUAAUAGCUUUUCUUCAUAAUUCUCCAUGUGUAAACAGUUAUCACUUGGAGAUAAAGAGUUUUGUCACUUCAUUAACAUUUGUAUGUCUAACUUCAUUUAUUAAAUUCACUAGGAUCUCUACUUUAUUGAAUAGAAUCAGUGGUUGUAGUCACCUUGAUCUCAUUUCCUGGUUUUUAAAGGAAAUACUUUAUUAUUUAAUAAUUAAGUAUGACUUUGUUUUAGGUUUUUGUAGAGGAAAUUCUUGAUGUGCUAGGAAUACUUCUAAAAUCAUGAGCAGCCUCCCAGGCCAACUGAGCAGUUGGUUAGAGUGUCAUCCCAGUAAGCCAAGAUUGCAGGUUCGAUCCCGGGUCAGGGCACAUACAAGAAUCAACCAAUGAAUGCGUAAAUAUGUGGAACAGCAAAUCAGUGUGCCUCCCUACCUUCCUCUAUCCCUUUUCCCCUUCCUCUUUCUCAUAUCAGUAAAUUUAAAAAGAACAUGCAUGAUGGUUAAAGAAUUAACAAAACUCUUUCUCAUUCUCGAAGGAGAAAUCUGACCUUAAAUGAAAACUUUGUAUCCAUUUCCUCUGAAUCCUGCUAAAAGUGGAAAGUCAACCAUGUUACUAGGCAGCAUUGCUUGUGGUAAAAAUGAUAUUUAUUUGGUAAAUGUAUUAGCACUGAAAAGAACUACACAGGAACCCUAAGUUCUUGAUUAGGAGAAAUAACUGGGAGCACAUUUCAGAGGUGGCAUAAACUUUGGGGGGACCCUGGAAGCUGUCACUUGAAUCAGCGAGGUACUGGUUUCUUUUGGGGACAUAGGGCUUCUGAGCCAGCAGGCAUCUGUACCCGCCCUGUGAGUCUCGUUUCCUUGUACCUGAGCUUCCAUCUGCAUGUCAGAGAGUAGUUCUUGGAUGGCCAUGUGGACUCCCGGGAAAAUUCUUCCCAUGGAGAGGAACACAUGAACACUGCUGUCAUGCCUUGUUUUCUUAGGAGUUCUGAGGAGACGGCCGCUGUGUGUGGCCUCUGGUAAUUGGAUAGCUCAGAAUGUGUAGUUGGAAGUCCCAUGUGGGCAUUGCACCGUGCAUUUAAUCGCAGUACAGGAGUAAAGUGUUUACUGGGGCUAAUCUAAGUUUAUUACUCAGAACCUUCAAUUUCUGAUUUUUAUUUAUUGGAAAACUCAUUCUCAUUGACUAUAAAUGAAUAUUAUAAACUCAAACUUACAAAAAUAAGUGUGUACAGUUUGUAAUUUUUUUGGUUAGAAUUCAUGUAUGUUUGCCAACCCCAAAAUACAUUAGCUAUUAAAAAGAGUUUGAUGACUAAGGUUUUAGACCUGUGUGGUCCAAUGGGUAGAUAAUUUGCUUUUCUAAUAAGGCUAUUGGAAUUAAUAUUAAAUAUAUCUAAAAUUUCAGUUUCUUGCACUAGUAUCAUUUCACUAGCCACAUGGGGCUGGUGGCUGCCAUAUUGGAAAGUAUAGAUACAGAACGUUUUCAUUAUUGCAAAAAGUUCUCUUGGAUGCUUUUACUCAUCGAGAUUAUCAAGAGCUUUAUAUUUUUACUGUCUAUGUUACAUCCUAUGAGAAACCGCUGAGCCAAUUAGGAUAUUGCUCAGGGACAGUAUUGAAGACCCCAGUGUAUUUUUUACAUAAUAAUCUGUGAGAGAUUCGUUUCUCAGAUUUGCAUACCAGAACAAAUUCUGUUUUUCCUGAGACUUACCAAUCCAUCAUGGCUGGUGUGAAUUUUGUAAUUGAUUGGUUUUCUCUUUUUGUUUUAUUGACCAGACAGUGUAGGGCCAAAUUUACGGCUAGAUUUAAGAAACCUCUGGCCUACAUAAUUUGCAUGCUUUUUCAUUGUCUGUAUUUUUAUAUUUAUAAAAUAUAAUUCUACUGUAGUGUUUGGAUUUUUAUAGGCUGUUUCAAAUGCUUUGCGAAAGGAGACAGUAUGAAUAUAGUAAUAAAUACCUUUAAGAUUUUGAUGGAUACUUUAGUGACUUGCUACUCUGGUCACUUACCGGGAGCCACUUACUGCUGAACGCCAGUGCUGGGAAGGAGUUACAAACCGUUCUUGGCUGGUAAUGAUCACGACACCCACCCCUGGAACUGGGACUGCUUUCCAAGUGAAGUGACUUACAGUGUAUACCUGUGAUAAAAUCGGUUUAAUUGAGUUUUCUAAAAUGUUUUUAAUUUUCAAAGUAAUGUUUGAAGAACUCUCUUACAAAACAGUUUAUAAAAUCUUCAGGCACGUUAGGAUUGGUAGGGAACUUCAACCAAGGCCGUAUCUGAGUAUUUUGAGCUGGUGAACCAGGUUUGGGUAAAAUGGGGAGGGUACUGUUUUGUUUUUUAUGGAAACUUUUGUAUUUUGAGGGUAGCAGAAAAUUGAAUUCUGGGCAUUUAUACCUUCUCAGUGUAAAAACACCACAGAGUUUUUCUUCUCCUAUUUUAUUCUGGAACUUACAAGCAGGUUGACAUUAUAUAUUUCAUUUACGUUUUGCAGCUUCUCUUAGUUCUGAAAGCACUUAAAGCAGCUUAACACAUUUCAGGCCAAAAGAUAAAGCAACUUUAUAAAAAAUAAAACCAACUUUAUCUCAAAGAAGUUGAAAGAUUAAGUGCUCCUGUGAAUCAGUGUUCAGAGUAGACUCGGUCACAUACUGGAUUUUACCUUUUCUGCAUGCUCAAGUGACAAACAGAAACAGGAUUCUAGCGUUUUCAUGUAGUGACAACCGGAAGCACAUAAACAUCUGCAGAAACCAAACAUUUCCUGGAACUAAACUCGAGCAGAAAUGUGUCACGUGAAUCUUUGUUUAAAGAACCUGGUGAAAAAUAUCUUCAACCACAGUUAUGUAAAAGGCCCAGGAGCACGUUCCCGUGGAUCGGGUCUCCAGAGACAGCAGUGGAGUCUGGGACGCGGUGGUCAGGAGGCAUUUUAUAAACGCUCUCCAGAGUCAGAAGAGCCUGGGACAUUUCACCAUCUGGAGCUUCUCUGCCUGGCCGAUCCCAGCUCCAACCUUCCAGUCUGUGGGACCAACCUGCCAGUCUGUGGGAGAUGGUAGACAGCACCCUGUAACAGCUGAGUUGCAAAAAUAUCUGCGUCUAAGGACUCGGGAGGACUUAUUUAUGGGAGCAAAGGCAGUGAGUGAGUCAUACCUGCAGGCUGGGAAAUGAGAAUUCACUUGAGCCUCGUCAUCCAGUCAGGAGGUUUCCUAGGCAACCAUUUGUGCAGUAAUUAAAAGAUGAGGAGCAAAGAGGAGGAAAAUGGAAGAAACAGACAAUUUUAAUGGAAUGGAAUAAACCACUGAACAGAAUUUGCUUUCGUGGUAUGGCAGCGUGGAGAUGUAGCUGGACUCCUGGACUGGCCCCCGGCUCUGCUGGUCCCCACAGGGAAGGAGCUGGCCCUUCUGUACCUUUCUCUAAAGCCAGGAAAGUAAUAUGCCUGCCGCACGUUUGGAGAAGGCAAGAAGACUUGAGCUGUCCCCAGGUCAUGGUGAGUGUUACGUAGCUGUUGGCUGGCAGCGAUUACUGUAUUACUUUUAUAAUAAAGGCUCACAGAAAAGGGAAUGUUUUUAAAGAAGAAACUGAAAAGCAAAAGUCCAUUACAUUUACACUGUCCUAUGCUUCAGCGCUCUCUCUUCGUAGCAGACACCCCCGCCGGCUGCAUGGGACAGGUGUUACUGUGCAUUCCCGUUCUCUCCCAAAGGGAGCUGUGGAGCAGUGUAGGUUUUUCUCUUGAGCUCCCUGGGGUACCUGUGCCCUGAAAAUACAGGGGGUGCUUCAUAACGGUUACUGGAACUGCAUUAUCUCUUAUAAAGACUUCACGGGGAAAGAUACUCCUUAACCUCACAUCUUCCUCUCCUCCUCCUGUGCUGGGCUAGCUCAGAGAAAAGACAGCAGUCACUCACUUGAAAUGCCGCCCCCCCCUCGCCUGCGUUUGGACUUCACGGUUGUGCUCAGCUCCUGGCCCUGGUUCUGCUUUCUCCAGCAGUUUCCUGGCCAGAGCAGGAACUGGAGCCGAGUCCGAGCGAAGUGACCUUCUUUCCCCCUGGUGCUCCCCACACGCCCUUGGAAGCAGAGCGGACCCUCACGGUAGUCCUGUGUGCAUAUCAAGAAGGGUUAAGGAUAACUCAGAAACAAAAUCCAGCUCAGAGCAAGUGUGAAGGCUGUUAAUGCCAUACUAAUGGCAUAAGCCCAGUUCACACGUGAUACUUGGGUUUCACAGACAGACCAGGUUGCAUGAUCGAGUGAAUGGUGAGCUCUCUUCCCGUGGUCACGAGAUGGGCAUCGUAUUCCAUGGGAAGCGUUGGUCUUUGCUGUGCAGAUGUGGUUGAGUAUGGUUUGGGAAGUGCCCCAGAUGCACAAAGUGGUGCUGCGUGGCUCUUGUGAUCUGACAUGAGAAACGCCUUCAACAGGACCCCUUUCUCCUGUGUGGGGGCUGUGCCCCCCAUCCAGCCCUCACUCAUGUCCCACAGCUCCCGCACGCAUUUCUCUUUCUUACUUCUCCACCUGACCUCUCACCUGCUGUAGCUAGCCACCGUCCCACGUCACAGAGAAGAGAGCCCACCGGAGGGCGAACUGGCUGCGGGUCCUGCGGCAUCACCACACUUUGUCUGCCGCUGCCCUGUUUCCCUAGCCUCCUGUGUCAGCACAAGAGCUGUCCCCGUGUCCAGGGCUCUGGAAGCCCCCCUCAACCCUCUCACUUUCUCAGGGACUUUCUCUCUCUGACCUUAUGCCUCCCAUUUGCCAUUGAUUUUUUUCCAGCAGCAUUUAAAACUACUCAAGUCUUGUCAAUUAAAAAAAAGAAGACACAGGCCUUCCCCAUGGCCAGGGCCAGUCUUGGAAGAACUGGGUGUGUCCGCUGCCUCCAUUUCCUCACUCCUGCCCUCUCCUAACCCCCCCCCCCCCCCCGCUGGCUCUGGGCCUGUGACGCAGCUGAUACUGGCUCUGGCCACGGCUGGCAGGUGCCUUCCUGCCGUUCCAUUGCCACCUUUGUUCGAUACAUUUGGCUCCUUGUUUUCCAUGACCUUUCAGCAGUGACAGCGUGUGCAGUGCACUCUCCUCUCUAGCCUCCAGGACCUGCCCUGCCCUCUGGGUUUUUCUCCUCAUUGCCCUUUGCAGGCUCUUUCUAUCCAUCUCGAAGCCCCUGGCUUUGUAUUCAGAUGCCAGCUGGACAUUUCCACUUUGAUAACUUGUGGGCGUCUCAUACCCAACAUUUUCCAAACUCAAUUCAAGUUAUACAAGUUUAAAAUCUGUGCCUCGUUUGGCCCCUUUCCCUCUCCAUCCAAAUCCACAAAGAAACCAAAUCAAAAUUCUAUGUAUCAGGAGUCCUCAAGGCCAUCUGUUUUGUCUCCGGUGUCCCCUCCAUGGUCACCGUCACCUCAGCCUGCCCCUGCUGUUUGUGUUCUUCCCCAGUUUGUUCCCCUGACUGCAUUCCCAGCGGUGCUUCUAAGAAGCAUCCUUGUCUCGUCACUUCUCCACUUAAAGGCUUAACUGUUUCUGUGAUGCCCUGUACCCACACUGACUGGGGUCCCUUCAGAGUAUGUGUUUCUACCCUCUGCACAAACAGGUUAGCAGAGCGCUCGAGUUCACGGGGACGUGGAGGACAGGGUCGUUUCCCACUCUGCACAGCAGAGCCUGAUGGCAGUCCCCGCUGGACGUCAGACCCUGCUGCCCUCCAGGGCUCCUCGUCGUGGGCCUCCUGUCCCUCCCAUCUCCUCCGCCCUUCCCCACUCACCUGGUCACCUGUUCGUGUGUCCCAGCCCCAGCGUCUUGCACCUGUAGUGCUUCUGCUCUGUUUACCUUCCCCUUUUCUUGUUUAGAGUCGCUCAGCUCUUUCCUGAAUGUUCUGGUCCCCAAAUUGCAUCCCUGUCUUGUCCUAGUUUGGGUUCCUCUUGAAGCAGAUUCUGAACAGGGGUGCUCUUCGCCUUCACCGCCUAUGUAAGAACCUCUCUGUGCCUCAGGUUUCUCACCUUUAAAAAUUCUGCUGCAUAAGGUUGUAGUGAAAAUUCAGUUUUGUGCCUGGAAAGUGCAUACAACUCUGACCCGUAGUAGUGGUCCGUCCAGCUGGCCACAGCGGUGAUACAAACUGGCAUUAUUAGAAGUGGUGCUUCUUACGGGUUUCCAUCCUCAGUCUAGCCGGACUGGACGAGAGCCCCUCCUGCUCCACCGGCAGUGCCCAUGCCCCCUUCACACUGUCAGUGCCAGCUCGAUGAGGGAGCUUGAGGUCUCCUGCUCAUUCCCAGCCGGUGCCCAGCCCAGUGCCUGGAGUACAGUGUGUACUGUGCACUGGGUACUCAAUAAAUAUUUUUUAACAAUUAACCAAAUAGCUUGUAGAAAAAGCAUUCUGAUUAUGUUAUGCUUUCUACCCAUUUACAAGAUAAAACAUAGCCAGGGCACCGUGACUGUGUGCCAGGGGCAAGGCCUUGACGCCGGCAUCACCGAGUGAGCCCGGGCAAGCGCUCUCCCCGGGUCAGCUCCAGGACAGGCCUCUGUGCAGCCCCCAAGCCCCCCAGUGCUGUGGUAACAGUGCAGAAGGAUAGAGCGCGUUUUGAGCACGCCCAGGGUGGGUGCCCCUCAUCGUUACGGGUUUUUUCCGUUAGCUGAUGAGAAAGUCGUCAUGUUACUUGGACUUGCAGGUUCUUUCCUAGUUGUGGGGAACUUUUCAAGCUGUAAUGAAAAGGUCUCAAAAAACCACAGAGAGGUCUAGUGUGUUCUCUUCAAGUUCAACAUAAUGCCCUUCUUAUUUUCACUUUUCACUGCCUCUCCUUCUGAGCUGACUUCUAUAGUUACAUGUAAAGAAUCUAGUAUCAGAAAUAAGGUCUGUUUGCUUUUGAUGCCUGCACCAUUCUUGAAACUUUCGUUCAUGCCACCAGAAGGCCUUCUUAGGACUUCUGACUUCCUUCCUUCCUUCAUGUCACUGUAUUCAGUGUGUGUGCAUAGCUUUUAACUGUGGCAAAACACAUAGAGCAUAAAACUUCGUCUGCACCAUUUUUGAGGGCGUGUUUCAGUGGCAUCAGGCUCCCUCGCGUUGAGCGGCCACCGCCGUCAUCCAUCUCCAGCGCUCUGUCAUCUUGCAAAACCGAAACUUCACACUCACUGAGCACUGACUCCCCAGUCCCGCUUCUCCCCAGCCUCUGGCAGCCACAGUUCUGCUUUCUGUCUCUGCGAGUUGCACUGCUCUGGGGACUGCAUGUCAGUGGCAGAAUCAUACAAUGUGUCGUCUUUCUCUGUCUGGCUUAUUUCACUUAGCGGCAUGUCCUCAAGGCCUUUUCACGUUGCAGCAUCAGAAUUUUCUUCCUUUCAAGGCUGAACAACUCGGCGUUGUACGUAGAGAGACCACAUCUCGUUUAUCCAUUCGUCCAUUGGUGGCCACUGGCGUUGCUUCCGGUUUUUGUGGCUGCUGUGAACACAGGGGUACGUGUGUUUCUCUGAGACCCUUCUUUCAGCUAUUUUAGACCCAGUGAUUUCUUGAAUCAUCUUCUGUCUUGAUGCUUCUGUUGUUGUCACGGACUCCUGCCUUCCUCUUUUGGUCGUUCACUCCCCCUCCCCCACUGACCUUCCUCACCGUUUUCCUAAUAACGUCCUGCGGUCGAGGUCUUCAGGUCUCAUUGUGACCCUCACAGAGCCGCUCCACGGAGAAAACAGUUUGACAGCUAAGAAUAUGAUUUGUUCCCACCUCCCACACACCCACCAGUGCCUGCUGGUUUCUAAAGCCAUACUGGGGGUUUCUAAAUUUUUAAAAAAUCCUUUUAUAAUCGGACAGAAUUUUAUGGCUACAGACAUAAAAUGUAUUUUGAAGUUUAACUGUGAGUGAUAGCAUCUUCCUCAUGUGUGUGUCAGUCCUGCCAUUGUGAAACUAAUAUUUAUUCAUUGUCAUGAAAACAACAUACGACAAUUGUAGAAAACUUGUAAGAUACAGCAAAAAUGUUGUACACAAUAAAUUACACUACCUAAAGAAAACCACUGUUAACAUCUUGGUGCAUAUCCUUCCGGUCUUUUUUUUUUUUUUUUUAAUCUAGCCAGAGACAUUUUUCAUUGCAUUUUUUAGAGAGAGAGGAAGGAAGAGGCAGAGCGAUUGGUUGCCUCCCUUAGGUGCCAGGACUGGGGGUGGUGUGCACCUGGACUGCACCCAGAUCAGGGGUCAAACCCACUGCCUAGGCAUGUGCCCAACCAGGAAUCGAACUCACCACCUUUCCGGGUAUGGGAAGAUGUUCUAACCAACUGAGCCACGCCAGCCAUGGCUAUCCUUCCAGUCUUUUUAAUGUGAAUUUUUAUAUAUUUAAGAUCAUAUUGUUUUGCACUUCUUUCUCACACUUAAUAAUAAAGUAUAAGCAUUCUUUUGUUUUAAAGGGCUUUGUAAAUAUUUUAAUUACUUUGUGUGACCGAGAAACACUUUACGGGACAUGCCUUUGCCUCAAUCACAUUUUUCUAAUUAUAAAAAUCAUAUGUUUCCCAGAGAAUGUCACACAUCUCAGUAUUAUAAAGACAUAAUGAAAAAAACCUAAAAACUCUGUCUUUUCCUUCUUAAAAGAGCUUUUUAAAUGUAUACUUUUCUAGCCACCUUUGAGAUCAGCUUCUCUUGCCCCACCAUUCGUUGGCUCCCCCGGCCCCAACUUCCUCUCACCCAGCAACAUCCCACCUAACAUUGCACAUUGUGAUCUGCACUGUCAUUUUCUCCAAAAACCGCUCUUUGAACAUAGGAGUUUAUCUAUCAUAAUUUAUGUGACCACAUGCUCCCCCCACUUCUGGGUGUUUGAAUUGUGCCCCGUGUUAUGUUACUGGAAGGAUGUCCUUCUGCAGUUACCUUUCUGUAUAGCUGCGAUUGUGUUUUUACGGAGAUAUUUAUAGACAUGUUAUGAGUCAGAGCAGUUUGGAGGCUUAUAAAAAGGUAUUGCUGAUUUCCUGAAAUGAUUGUCUCAUGUCACUUCGCUGGCUUUGCUCUUUUUGUUGUCCAUCUCUGUGUUUGCUAGUGAUAUUCAACACUUUUUCAUGUGUAUUGGCCUUUGUAUUUUGGGGUGCGUAGUCUUUCAGUAUCACUUAGCUUUUAUGCUGAUAAAUCAUAUAACGUGUAUUAUCCUGUUGCGAGUAUUUUGUUUUUCUGUUUACCUUUCAGGUUUGUCUGCUGCUUUUUUUUGUCUGACAUACAGCGAUUUUGCAUUUCAAUGUAGUUAGGUUGAUCCAGAUUACCUGUUAACUUUUUUCAUUACUUUUAUUAUAAAGCUAAGACUUUUCCUAUCUCAAAUUCAUAAAUAAUUUUUCUAAUUGCUUUCUUUUUCCCCUUUUAACACUUAACUCUUAAAUCUCCAUAUAGUUAAUUUUGGUGAAGAUUAUAAAGUAGGAGCUAAUUUUUUUUUAUUUUCUAGAAUACUAUGUGGUUCUCAUGUUUGUCCAACAUUUCAGUAAGGCCAUGACAUGAACUAAAACAGGUGCUUUUUUUUUUCUUUUAAGUGCUUACCUGGGGACAUAUUAAUUUAAGAGAGAGGAAGGGAGACAGAGAAGGAAACCUUGAUGGGUUGCCUCCUGUACACGCCUCAACCUGGGAUCGAACCCACAGCCUUGUGGGAUGUGGGAUGAAGUUCCGACCAACCCAGCCACCCAGCUAGGGCAGUAAGUGCUUUCUCUUAUUUUAAUGCCUUGAUUUCCACACUGUGAAAACGUGAGAAGGCUGUGAUUUACCGGUCGGGGGGCAGGCUCCGGGGAGACGGGCCGGCACCAUCUCAGAAGCUUUAUUACCCCUCAGCCUAGAGCUUGCCCUGACUCUUCCCAGCUCAGGACGUCGGAUGCUCAGCACGUCGGAUGCUCAGCACAGGCGGGCGGGGGCCUGAGGUAGCACCGGUGAUAAUGAGGGUGGGCCAGAGUGAGCCUCUCUGCGUUUUGACCCUAUUUCAAUUAUUCACGACGAAGGUCAGCAACCAGGGCUCCACUCAUCAGAGACUUAGUUGAACCUCAGGUUAUAGACAUGAGGCAGCGCGUAGCGAAAGGAAGCCCUAGCCUAACAAAGUCAGAAAUCUUGGGGCCGGUGUCAGCUGUCGGUCUGUGUGACAGAGCAGAGUCUGUCAGCUCCUCCAGUUGCCUGGUUUGUAGCAUUAGGGAGUCGAGGUGUCUACUUUGAGGUUUAUGUUCAAGAAAUCAGGCAAGAAUUAUUCAGAUACUACUUAAUGAUGACCCUCUUACAACUUACAUGCCUCAGAUGAAAAUUUUGUGGCCCUGAUGUUUUCCUCUUGAGAAUGCAUUUCCUGUACUAAGAUACCGUAACUGCGUGAGCGCUGUAGACCUUUGUGGAGUCCGGGUAAAUCGAAAGAGUUGGCUGCUUUGCUCCAGGAACACACAGCUCUCCAUGGCGGAUAGAGCUGAGGUAUUUGUACGUGGCUGCAGCUGGUGAUUUGUUGGAUUACACUUAUGUAUGGCCCGAUCUUCCAAUAACAUGAAAAAUGGCCUUUAAAAAAUAAACUUUGAAUGGAUAGGAUCUUCAAAGAAACAGUUCUUGUAUUAAUUAAACUUUCAUUUCUCACCGUGAUUGCUUUGAUCUCGUAAUACUUUUUAAAUGUCCUGAGGGCUUAUUUUCAAAGCUUUCAUACAAAUUAUUAUUUCUCAAAAGCCAUAAUAUAUUCAUGGCUCAGUGAAUCCUAAAGACAGUAUUUUUAAACCCUGUUAAGUUUUUCUUCGUGUGCUGGUCUGCUGCAAAAAAAUUUUUUUGCUGUGGGUCAUGUGAUUCCUCCCGUCCAUAAUACAAGCACUUAAAAUUUUUACUUCCUGAUUGAGCCAUCAGAUUAUGUAAAAUGUAAAUCAGUCUAAAUACCUAACAACAGGAAUUUUAAGGGAGAACUGCCGUGUGCGUUUUCUGUUUUACUCUCAAUGCCUAAAAAACCGGAGUGUGUGCUUCCCUGUUUAUAUUUGGAAACACGAGACCGUCAGGGAUUUGUUUUGCCCUGUCCCUCUCAGAUUAAGUCCAAGUUUGCUUUCAUUAUAAAAAUAAUGCACUGACGAGGUAGACCGUGGGAGUGGUCCAGUUACAGGACUGAAAUCAGAACAGUUCCAAUGACAGAGAGCGCUACCCACUUGUCAGCCUUUUCAUGCUCUGAAUGAGGAGCGCAGCAUCUCUCAAAAGGUAAUGAUUUGAUAUUUUGGAAUUGCAGGUGGUGACUUAGCAUUUCUGCUGCCUCGUACAAGUUACAGUAAUUUCUAGCAGCCUGGAUGACACUUGUUUUGUCAUGGAUCUUAAAAUCCCUUGCGUUUUUCCCACAACAGUUUUGAAGUUGUCAUAGUAACAUAGUAACAGCAUGAUAUUUGGAGGGUCUUUUUAGUAGUUCUUUAGCUUGUGUUAAUUAAUUUUAUUAACUGUGGAUGUCUUUCUUUUCACUCCUCUCUGGCAAACAAGGGCCAGCAUUGCUCAGAUAUGUAUUUCAUGUUCUUUAUUUCUUGAUGACUAGAGUUAAAGGACUUGGUGUUUUCUAAGUUGUUUCAAGAAAGGAACAAGAACGUUAUCAAUUAAUUUCAGACAGGUUAAACUUGGAUUUUUAGUUACUUCCCUGUAACAUGCACUACCAGUGGAGAUUUAGUUUUGUUUAAAGAGAUGGGUUAUGGGAGCUAUUCCCCAAACUGGUGGUGGUGAUGAACCUACAGGUGUUAACAACUGGCCUUUGCUUUGGUUCUGCUGUCUGUGGACUGAGAGUUGAGGAACACAGAAGGGAAGUCUGCCGGACUUACAGGUGACGAUCAUGUCUUUAAAAAUGCAGCACUCACGUACAGAACCACAAGCUUGCUCCACAGAAUGGGGCAGGGGGGAGGGUAAAUCUGACUUUCAGAAUUAAAACUUCAGUACUGUUUGAAACUAAAAAAUGCUGAAAUAAAGUAUCCUCCAGGAAAGUUUGUGGGAAUUUUUUACUGAGAGAAAGGUCGUCAGGAUCUCCUGUUAGUAGGUCUCUGUGGCAGACAUGCUUGCCAACAUGGCGAUCGGGGAGCGGGGGGGCCUUUCCUUUGGGCAGGGGAGAGGGUCAGAGGCAAGAAUGGUCUGUACUGGGUCUGGACACUGAGGCUUUAAACGGUGUCCCAUGUUGGAUGCUUGUGUUUUCUUGUAAAAGUGAUCAGAGAGAUGUGACACUUGGGAAAGGUAUCCCGUGAGCUCCGCUGAUUCCGUGCUAAUGCCGGUGUCCUUUCUGUUCUGUGGAGUGUCUGUUCAACCCGGGGCCAGGCAAGGCAGCGGGGUGGCAGCCGCCUGUGCAGCCAGCAGCAGCGGAGGUGCUAAUGCAGGGCCGGUGAUGUCAGGAGUUACGAGACAGCAGUUUCAAAACACUGCUGUAAACAAGGUCAACGUGUCCCGUUUUGCUGGGAGAAGUUUUGUUUUUAUGGGCUGGGCAGUACAUGGAUGAAGUACUUUCAAAACAAACAUUCAGCUUGUUUGUUUGUUUGUGUUUUUACAUUUUUGGAUUUAAAAAUUAACCAGAUGAGAUUUAGUAAGGGUUGCAUUUUUAAGCAGAGUUACACUGUUUUUCUGUUUUUAUUUUAUUUUCUCAAAAAAAAAAUCUUCAGCAUUUACAGAGGAAUCAAAAUACUUCUGAUCUUAAAUGCAGUUUCAGGGGGCAAGAUAGGACCCAGUACCCAGCAGAUGUCAGUCACAAUCAGCAGGGAAACAUCCCUUGUAAUUUUGUUCCUUUUGCUCUUAUUUAAAUAAGCACUUAAAUACGAGAAAGUUAAUGGCGCAGAAUAGUGCUGACUGCAUGGUUCUUAAUGCAUUUUCCAACCUUGAACCUGAGAAUGCCACAGGCUUGAGCCUCUGGACACUCGUUUGAGCAGUUAUCUGCUGGUGGCCUGGUUCCUGGGGUGACAGGCGGGUGUCCCGGGCGCGUGUGGUGACAACAGGAGUGGUGCCAGCAUGGCGCCCAGAGGUCGCCUCUGUUUGUGUCGGGGAUUCCUGGUCCUUGGGGCUUCGAGACAACUGUGAACUCAGGGCGUCCGGGGACACGCAGGCAUUUGGGGCAUUUGGGAGUCCACGCAAACCUGGACGUGAGCGCAGGCACCACUUUUAAAGUGAAAGCACGGCCCCGAGGAAGGAAUUACCCUCGCCUCGUUCCCGACCUGCUUACUGUUCUGGAAAACAAAGUAAGUUUUGUUUGUUUCUUUCUUAGUCACUCCUCUGCAUGUUUUUUCUUGCUAACAUUAUUAGACACCCAGUACCUGACAAAUGCCAAGUGUUUCCCCUUCGUUGGGAAGGAGGAUAUGAAGUUUGUUAAAUAGCUAAUUGCUUCUUUGAUCUUUUCUGUCUUCCUGUAUCUAACGUGCUGGCUUGCUUGUUAAGAGAUAGCAAGAGACUGAAAUGUAUUAUCAAUGAGAAAACAAAAGCUCUUUUUUAUUUCAAAUGCUUCGAGAACUUUGCCAUUAAUUGAAUGACAAUGACAAUGACACAGACAGGGCUUUUUCUGUGCCAGGAGCACAUCUAGCAAAACAGCCCCAGUUCACUGCCCUUAUUCUCACUGGGAAGCAGGAUGGGGGCUGAGCGCACGGGACAAAUAGAAAAGACAGUGUCCCUGUGUGGGAACUGCAGAACCCGGUGGGAAGGGCUCCUGGGCAGGGAGCUGUAGUUUAAACACCAGAUCAGCAGUUGCAGAAUACUCACAGGAAUGGGAAGGGAUGCACAGGGAACAAAAUCAAUAGCAUGUAAGUAUGCACGGAGUCAGAUGGGUACCGGAAUUAGGGAAUUAUGGGGGGGGGCACACUGUAUAAAGUAUGUGAUUGUCUAACCACUCUGCUGCACACCUGAAACUAAUACAAAAUAAUACUGAAUGUAAACUGUAAUUAAAAAAAUAACGAAAAAGAAAAGAGUCUGUCAGGGAAUGGAAAAGAGCCAAGGAAUACAAAUUAUUUAAUAAUGUGGAAAAAGACCGAUUUAAUAUAAAAAUGGGAUAAAAUAUAUAAAGAACCUCACCUUAUCAACAGAAACUCAACUUCCCCUUCCCAUUAGAACGUUUCGUGCCUUGUGGGUUCAUAGAAAUGGGUUAAUACCUUCUAGAAGGUAAUUAAGAGGCUGUAUUGCUCGUGCAGAGAUUCCGUGACGCCAGCCUAGUUCUACUACUUGGCCCCCGUUUUGCAUUUGUGUUUAUGUGCUGAUCCUGCCUCCAGAGGUGUUGCAUGGUUUGAUACAUUUUUAAUACAAAGUUCUGUGGUUUUGAAAAUGCAAAACAAAAAGAAGUGCAGGGUAGUUUGAUCUGUGAUUAAAGUGUCCUUCCUCAUAACACGGACUGCGCUUACUGCAGAAUUUCCUGACCACGUAAACAGUAGCACUUCGAAGGUGGGAGGAGGUGGUGACUGCAGGGUGGCAGCGGGAGCAGAGUCAGGGGUCUUGUUUCUAAAUCCAUUGCCACGUGUGGUGGGAAUUUGAGUCCAGGCCUCUGUGCCAUGAGCAUUCCGUUGUAUCUCGAAGUGGCGGUGACAGGACGUGGGGCGUCACCAUUUCAUUUGGAACACCUCAGGCUCCUUACGUGAAGGAGUGAGAAUUAAUUCAGCAAACAUCUUUAAGUACCUUUGUUACUUACAGCAUUGUGCUCAGAGCUGUAGUUUUUCACAGUGAAGUUUACAGAGAUUCAGUUUAGACAUUCAAGACUGAGAGCAGUUGGACACGGGGGUGAGUAGCAGAGCACCACUGUCGAGAUGAUUUAUUAAGGAUGGUGCCAAGUCAGCAGGGCAGUCCCCUUCAGAGCCGCCCCUCCUAAUUAAAGGGAAGAUGGCUGCCAUCCGUCUACUUUCAUUCGAGGCAGUAGGGGCCUGGGGUGGAAGGAAGCACUCCCCCCCCCCUUUAUUUUUCUCCCACUCUUUUUUUAGAGUCAGCUUUCUCUUGAGUCAGUGACCCAGAAGGUCACUGAUGAUCUGCCUCUCUCAGAAUGAAUAGUAACAUAGGCAUGGGAGGCACUUCACCAAAAAAGUUUAUAACGUGCAUUGAUUUAUUUAGAACUGCUUGAAUUCCGUCUGAGAGUAUCGUAAUGUCCGUGUUGGUGUUUUUGCCCCUUUUACUAUUGGCAGGAAAAGUGGGGGAAUUUUACUUUUAUUGAAUCUGCUUUAUCAUGAAAAUAUUUUAUAUUCCACUGGGCAUAAUCAGAAGACAGCAGCAAGUAGCUAUCCAGCGGGCAUGUAAAGGAAUGUUAUUCUCACCAAAACCAAGGACACCUGUUAAGUGUGAUACAUAUGUAUUAUCUCAAGGGAAAUUAUGGACAAGGAUGUUAACAGAUGUCCCAAGUUGGUCUUCUGAUGCUUCUUGGACAAGUUAUUGAAAUAACUCACGUUGUUUAGUCUUCAGUUAAAUAAUAAUAAGCCUUUUAGGCCCUUUCUCAUGAGAAGAGGUUAUGGGAGAAUUUAGUUAGUUUGGGUUCACGGCUUAAUUGCUUUUGAAAGUGUAAUCUAAUAAAAAGACUGAGCUUUCUUUCCUCCCUUACUUCCUCUUUAAAUGGAGGGAAUGUGUGCUGGUUUUAGAUGUAUUUAAGAAAAUAUGAAACGUUUUCUGUUUUUGAUUUAGAAGUCCCAUUGUAAAUGGAAAAUUCUGAAAUACUUGGUUAUUUUUGCUUUCACUUCUUUAUAUACUUAACGCAAAGUGUCAACAGUUAUCUGGAAAGAUUCGGCUCUUUACACACCCCGUCUAGCCCCUCCCCCGAGAAGUAGACCCGGAUUCCCAGAACAUGCUGUUUUUUGGAAUUCCUGAUGAUGCGGAAGCAUGUUUUUUUGUAAACCCACACAUCAUAUUUGGAAAGCCCAAAUGUGAGAGUCAUGUCUGUAAUUUUAUGUGGAGAUUUUUUCAAAUUUGUCAUCAACUUGGGAUGAACUGUCCUGGGAACGUGGGGCGUGUUUGGGUUGUUGAGCCUGGGGAGAGCGGCGCGUACCCGUAGGUCCAGAGACGCUGACACCCGGUUCAUGUGGUUGGGUAGCGCCGGACAAGUGGACCACUUCCUGGCCACUGCAGGGCGCACACUGACAUUGUUGAGUUAAUUCAGCAGUUAAUUGAGAGGCAGGUGUUUUUGGCUUUUUCAUGGGAUAAUUUUACAUAUUCAACUAGGUACUUCCAUAACUGUCUUUUUUAAGGUGUGAUUUAAAUCAAUUUGGUUUUACCCAUCAGUGUUUAUUUCAGGGCUACUAAAUAAGUGGAUUAAACGAAGCACAUUUAAAAGGUGUGACUCUGGUAGAGUGUGAUUAAUUUUAACUCACAUAGCAAAAGACACAUAGACAUGCAAGUGAACGUCGCCUCCUUGAGGUACUGUGUUAGCUGGGAAGAAUUUAACCUUCACUGCAGUGACGCCAUUUUUCCUGGGGACACAUUAGAAUGUGGGGCUUGCCAUCACCUUCAGAGCCUGCUACCCUUUUCUUAGUGCCCACAGUAGGAAAGAGUCAGCAGUCAGGUCUGAUGCCGGGUGUACGGACCGAGAACGGACCGGAGUCACGGAUUCAUGUGCACGUUUACUGAGCCACGGCCCGUGUUCUAGCAGUAAGUGCAGCAGACUCAGAGACGACCGGGUCACGGGCCUGGCCCUCCAGGCGGACGCAGUCGGGUGGGACGCAUGGCCUGGACGGAGGGUUACUUCAGGCUGACAGGGGCGAUAAGGGAGGCUCACGUGGUGCUGUGGGAGCCCAGCGGGAGUUAAAAUAAAAUCUGAGGGAGACGAGAGCUGUUGCCUGUGUGAUUUAUAAAGCAGCUUACAUAAUACCAGAAUUUUGGAUAUGAGAGUCCUGACAAAUCUCUUCUAUUUUAAGAAUGAAGAGAUUGGGUUUAUUUCUGAAAUUCUUUAAUUCUCAGCCAGUUGAAAGUCUUAUGAGAAAAGGUGUUUGUUCUAAUGGACAUCUUUUUUUUUUUUUUAACCAAAAGAAGUUUUGGUUAAAUGAAAGGUGAGGUCUUAAAAAGGUUUUAGACGUUGUUAGAAAAACUGUUUUCUCCAAAGGAUACUUCUGAAGAUUGAUUUUUUUAGAAAUCCUCACCCACACAUGUAUUUAUGGAUUCCAGAGAGAGAGGAGGGAGCGAGAGAGAGAGAGAGAGAGAAGCAUUGAUGUGAGAGAGAAGCAUUGAUCGGUUGCGUCCCGUACAUGUAGUGUCCAGGGAUUGAACCUACAACCUAGAUUUGUGUCCUGACCAGGAAUCCAGCCUGCAGCCUUUUGGUGUGUGGGACAGCACUCCAGCCAUCUGAACCACCCAGCCAAAAUUCGAAGAGUUGCUUUUAUUUUCACGUUAAUGUAGUACUUUUGGCAUACUAAGUAUACCAAAGCCUUUCAUGUCACGUUUAUUGCUAAAAAUAGCUGUAUAGCUUGUAGGAGACAGUGAACUUGAAGUUGGCCUGCAUCUCUCAAGUAUAUUGCAGGAGAGAAAAGGCUUCCCAUCUUCUUUUGUGUUGUAUUUCACAGGGACAGAAUUUCUGUCCUGUGGCCAACAGUGGAUCUCCCUUGCGGAUAGGCUCAUUUAGCUGUGAUUUGUGCAGUGUCACCCAAUCAGUGCCAGGUACUGUUCUGAAAGCUGAUGAGCAGAGGCCACGCUGCUGGAUGGCGGACCCUGGACACCGUGCUCCUCAGCAGGACCCUGUAGUUGUGCACAGUCAGCACCGCUUCCGGGGGCGGUUUCCUGCACAUGACGGCCCAGGCCUGGCUGUGGUGCUGCGCCCAGAGCUAAGGUUCUGUGCACAGAGAAAACUGGGGUAAACAUAGAGAAUGUUUAUAACCAUGGAGAGAGAAGUAAACGAAACACACUACAUGGUAGGAAAGAAAGGUUUUCUGCUGCUAGGGUGAUCAGGAACUAAUUUAUGGGUUAAGGAGCAUAUUGGAGGCAGCCAUUGAAAGAAAGGCUGUGUGGGCAGUGAGGACUUGAGGGCGGGUGUUCCAGUCCAGGGCAACAUGAGCAGAGGCAGAGGUAGGGGUGGGAAGUAGCAGUGUACUGAGUGGGCAGUGACUGAUUUGGCGUUGCUGGGCAACAGUGUGUGUCAGAGUGACUAAUGAGAAGAUAAGGUAGCAAAGGUCUGUUGAGGCCAGAGAGGGAGGGCCAUGACUGUCAUGUAACUAAACGUUGUAACUCAAUCCCGAGUCUUGUGGGGAGCAGUUGAAGAAUUUGGGGCAGGAGAGUGACAGUAGGAUCUCCUGUAGGAAGCCUGGUCUGGUGUCAGCAUGUGGGGGGUGGGGCCGUGAGGAAACCAGAGCCAGGAGCCCGUCCAAGCUGCCGUGAUACAGGAAGGCAGUGAGGAGGGCCUGAAUGGGGGCCGACGGAAAACCAGGCAGAGUCAAGAGACGGAAUUUAGGGACUGCCUGGAUCAUGGGGGCUGGCCCAGGGGGAGGAAGGUGGAAGCAAAAACCAUUCCAGGUGUCUGAACCCCGCAGCCAUGUAUUGCUUCUGCGCCGUCUGUGAGUCAUUUCACAUACAUUCUCUCAUUCAGCCGUAUCCUGUCUACUCCUGUAAGGUUGGUACUUCGGUGCUUAUUUCAGAGAUGAGAGAACUGAGGCCCAGAGAGCUUUGUCUAAAGCUGUAUAGCUAGUGGGCUAAAGAAGGGGUCUCGUCAGCAUCCCUGCUGUCCAGCUCCUGCUCUUUCCACUGUGCUAGGUUUGGGAGGCAGAAGACGAUCUCUGCCCCUUUCGGACACAUUCCGUGCAGGUGCUGGAGGUGGGCCAUCUGGGCUGGAGACGUGGAACUGAAUCUCAAGGGCAAACCUAGGAGGAUCGGGUACAAGGGUUUAAGAAUCAACUUCUUGUUCACUUAUUCAACAUAUACUUGCUGGUCCAUACUACCUUAUGGACCAGCACAGCACGGCCGUGGCAGUGCAGUGGUGAAGGAGAGAGCCGUAGUCUUGCGUCACAGACGUGCACUCGUGAAGGGGACUCCAUGCUGUUGGGUUAGUGUCCUGCAGGGGCAGGGGCAGGUUUGCCCUAGAAACACCCACCCAGGGGACCUAACCAAGUCUGGGGACAGGGAACAUCUGAAAGAUGUGGUGGAACUUCACAUGACACUCAGAGGAUGAGUGCCAAGAUGAAAGGUGACCCAGAGGCCAUGGAGAGACACUGGGUCUGAAGAGCUGGACAUUGUGUGGCUGGAAGGGAGGGACCGUUGCAGGGAGGUACGGCUGUGGAGAGGUCGGUGGCGGCUACUUCAGGAGAGGUCUCCAAAGCUGUGUUGGGGGGUCUGGUUAUUUUCCGAAGGACACAGGGAGGUAUUCGUGAACAGUGCCCACUGGGGUCACACGAUCAGACUUGGUUUUAGAAAGGCCAUUUUGUCUGCUGGAGAACAGGGAGGGUGGCAAGUCCUGGAAGCAGGAGAACUGCACAGGAGACCGAUGGGAAGAGGGUACUGGGUGAGAGAGGCUCUGGUCGCUGCUUAACGACAUUGACAUGUUGGAAUUUGGGGAGUUGUUGGAUGUGGAAGAUGAGGGAGAGAGAGGAAUAAAAGUUAACGCGUUAGAGUUCUGUGGGGUUGUUGCUGGUACUUAGCUAGGGGACACGGAAGGACCCGAUUUGGGGUUUGGGACUGUUGGUUUGGGUCAGCCUAAGUGAGUGCUGAAGGGAGCUGAAGAACAGGAAGUUGCAAUCGGAGGAGAGGAGAUGUCAGACUUUAAUACUGCGGAAAUGAAGCAGUUCGUGUAACAGCAGAAGAAAGGAGAAGGUCACUAGAAGUGGGUGAGUGACGUGGAGGCGGGCUGGCUCUGGGACUUUCCGGUCUAACCUGGGCACGCUGGCGGCCAUCGCAUUUGCCAGAAGUCCUACAGAAAUGAGGUGAGGUGCUGGUGCGUGUUAGCGCCCCGUCCAGCCAACAGCUAGGUGUGUGCCGGGGCAGAGGACCCAGCUCCUUCGUGUGUGUCCCUUGGUUCUCGGAGGGAGUAACUGGCACAGUAGUCAUUUACUGGGCCUGACGGGGGCCAGGGACUUCGUUUUAAGUGCAUUACAAACAUAAUCCAGUAGGGUCUUCCCCAUGUCAUCAUCCCAUUGUACAUGUACAGGAAGCAACAACAAGAGAGGUGAAUCAGGUUUCCCAGGUAGGUGGCGGAGCAGCGACACCAGCCGGCAUGCUCCAUCAUUUCCUCUGCCCUUGCCACUGCCUCCCGGGGGGGCCUGCCACUCUUCCCUGCGGACCACCAGCUCCGUGAGGACAGGAACUUCUUUUCAUUGAGUCACCAUAUUUUAGCAUCUUCUACAGGGCCUGACACAUAGUAGGUGCUUAAUGCAUAUGGGCGGAGUGGCUGACAGACUCGCUGUGUGCUCUGUGAUCAUUAUCAGCUGGCAGUGAGCUGGGAGGAGAGCGGGCUGGCCUGAGAAGGGUAGUCAGACGCACGCAUUUGGCCUUCGGACACCUGUAUCUGCUCUGUCCCUGCUCCAGGAAGAGCCUGUCCACCUGCCUUUGGUGAGGGGCCGCAGCACUCAUUCAGUAAAACUCCUCUGCCCAAGAAGUCUAGUGACACCGUGUGUAUCCUUGUCAUGAGCAUUGAAGACUCUUGGCGCAUAGCUUGUACUCCAUGCUGGUCUGGGACAACCUUUAAACAAUACUGGUGCUUUUAAGGAAACGUCAAAUCGUGUAUUUGGGGCACGUUCCUGAAGUCCCUGCUUCCUCCACGGUUCCACACUCCUUUCUGUUUCUCUCUCAGUGGGUCUUUGUCUCACGCUCUCCACGUGCCUGUUCGUGCGUGCACACACCUCAGUUUGUCGCCAUCUCCUGAACAGUUCUCAGGAGAUGAUCUCAGUUCUUUUUUAAUGAAAUACAUGGUGAUACAUGGCCUCUGCAAUAAAUGGUGUUGGGAGAGCUGGACAGCUACAUGCAAAAAAAUGAAACUCGAUCACCAGCUUACACCAUACACAAAAAUAAAUUCAAAGUGGAUAAAAGACUUAAAUGUAAGUUGUGACACCAUAAAAGUCCCAGCAGAAAACAUCAGCAGGAAAAUCUCAGACAUUCCACACAGCAACAUCUUCACUGACAUGUCCCCUAAAGCAAGGGAUGUAAAGGAAAGAAUAACCAAACAGGAUCUCAUCAAAUUAAAAAGCUUCUGCAUGGCUAAAGAAAACAGCAUUAAAAUGAAAAGAGAACCAACUAAAUGGAAAACAUAUUUGCCAAUGAUA